GGACUACCGGGGUAUCUAAUCCUGUUUGCUCCCCACGCUUUCGUGCCUGAGCGUCAGUGUUAGCCCAGGGGGCUGCCUUCGCCAUCGGUGUUCCUCCACAUCUCUACGCAUUUCACUGCUACACGUGGAAUUCCACCCCCCUCUGCCACACUCAAGCUCGCCAGUUUCCAAUGCAGUUCCCAGGUUGAGCCCGGGGCUUUCACAUCGAACUUAACGAACCGCCUGCGCACGCUUUACGCCCAGUAAUUCCGAUUAACGCUCGCACCCUACGUAUUACCGCGGCUGCUGGCAC
rnacentral:rRNA from 2 species